CCUACGGGGGGCAGCAGUGAGGAAUAUUGGUCAAUGGACGAGAGUCUGAACCAGCCAAGUAGCGUGAAGGAUGACUGCCCUAUGGGUUGUAAACUUCUUUUAUAUGGGAAUAAAACGUUCCACGUGUGGGAUUUUGUAUGUACCAUAUGAAUAAGGAUCGGCUAACUCCGUGCCAGCAGCCGCGGUAAUACGGAGGAUCCGAGCGUUAUCCGGAUUUAUUGGGUUUAAGGGGAGCGUAGGUGGAUUGUUAAGUCAGUUGUGAAAGUUUGCGGCUCAACCGUAAGAUUGCAGUUGAAACUGGCAGUCUUGAGUACAGUAGAGGUGGGCGGAAUUCGUGGUGAAGCGGUGAAAUGCUUAGAUAUCACGAAGAACUCCGAUUGCGAAGGCAGUUCACUGGACUGCAACUGACACUGAGGCUCGAAAGUGUGGGUAUCAAACAGGAUUAGAUACCCCAGUAGUC
rnacentral:rRNA from 1 species